CACCGCCUGGGGAGUACGACCGCAAGGUUAAAACUCAAAUGAAUUGACGGGGACCCGCACAAGUAGUGGAGCAUGUGGUUUAAUUCGAAGAUACGCGCAGAACCUUACCAACACUUGACAUGUUCGUCGCGGCUCUAAGAGAUUAGAGCUUUCGGUUCGGCCGGACGAAACACAGGUGCUGCAUGGCUGUCGUCAGCUCGUGUCGUGAGAUGUUGGGUUAAGUCCCGCAACGAGCGCAACCCUCACUUUUAGUUGCCAUCAUUUAGUUGGGCACUCUGAAAGAACUGCCAGUGAUAAGCUGGAGGAAGGUGGGGAUGACGUCAAGUCCUCAUGGCCCUUACGUGUUGGGCUACACACGUGCUACAAUGGCAUUUACAAUAGGAAGCAAGAUGGCGACGUCAAGCAAAUCCUAAAAAGAUGCCUCAGUUCGGAUUGUACUCUGCAACUCGAGUACAUGAAGCUGGAAUUACUAGUAAUCGCGGAUCAGCGCGCCGCGGUGAAUACGUUCCCGGGUCUUGUACACACCGCCCGUCACACCAUGGGAGUUGGUUCUACCUUAAGGCAAGGUUUAAAACCCUUGACCACGGUAUAGUCAGCGACUGGGGUGAAGUCGUAACAAGGUAGCCGUAGGGGAACCUGCGGCUGGAUUACCUCCUUUCUAAGGAUGAAUAAGAAUUCGUUCUUAUUCUAAAUAAUAUAACAGGUUAAUGUUGACCGUCCUCAUUUCUCUUCUUGAAAUAGUGUUUCUCUCUUCUACGUAGGGGCCGGUAGCUCAGUUGGUUAGAGCACACCCUUGAUAAGGGUGGGGUCGAAAGUUCGAGUCUUUCUCGGCCCACCAAAAUUAACUGGGGGAUUAGCUCAGCUGGGAGAGCGCCUGAUUUGCAUUCAGGAGGUCAGCGGUUCGAUCCCGCUAUCCUCCACCAUGAAACACUUAGUUAUUUUAUUUUGUGAAGAAAUUUUUUUAUAUUAUCAAUAUCUAUAUCCGAUUGUUCGAAUAGAUGAACAAUCAAUAAAUAUUCGAAUAGAUGAAUAUUUAAUAAAAAUUUGAUUCAACACAGAAUUUUUUUCUG
rnacentral:sRNA from 1 species